UACGAAGGGGGCUAGCGUUGCUCGGAAUCACUGGGCGUAAAGGGUGCGUAGGCGGGUCUUUAAGUCAGGGGUGAAAUCCCGGAGCUCAACUCCGGAACUGCCUUUGAUACUGAGAGUCUCGAGUUCGGGAGAGGUGAGUGGAACUGCGAGUGUAGAGGUGAAAUUCGUAGAUAUUCGCAAGAACACCAGUGGCGAAGGCGGCUCACUGGCCCGAUACUGACGCUGAGGUGCGAAAGCGUGGGGAGCAAACAGG
rnacentral:rRNA from 1 species